rnacentral:tRNA from 1 species
AUUAAAAUGGCAGAUAAUAUGCAUUAGAUUUAAAACCUAAAGAUGAGCGAGUGCUCUUUUAAUG